CAAGGUGGAGCUUGAUUAGUUAAGCGUCUCAUUUACACUGAGAAAUUGUCUGUGCGAGUCAGAUUAUCUUGA
rnacentral:tRNA from 1 species